UGGUGCUUGCUGGUCAACUUAAGACCUUCCUAGGCAGAGGUGGCUCCUGGACAGUGGAGAGUUGGAUGACUGAGCUUUCUGGGUGGGUCAUGGAUGCCCCAUCCUAUCCCUUUGUCAAAAAAGAUUGUCUAAGAUGUAUAAAAGCUGAGGAAUGUAAUGUUCUGGCCUCAGAACUAAAGGAGGCAAUUGUUACCAUUGUCUAUUCACUGUAUUAUGUUUCAAAGACAAUAAGUGGGACACUGCAGUGGCAAUAGUACUGAAAAUGUAUUAUUUUCAUGAUUUCAGCACUAGCUAGGAAUAGUUUGAUUCUACCCAGUGGUAAGGACCACUUAGAAAAUUUCAGUUUAGGUCAAGAUUGUGUUAACAUAGGGACACAUGACAAAACUUGUGGAUACCUGGAUCCUGCUAUCUGUAACCAGGAAUUUCGGGUUGUAAUGGUCAGAAACCCCAGUAAGGGAGCUAGAAACAAACCUAUAUUUUCCUCACAGUGCCAGUGUGUUUACAUGUAUAGGGCUACACAUCCCUGAUUCCUGGGAGGUUUCACUAUUACAAUACUAAGAGACCAAAAAAGAAAGAAAAGAAAAAAGUGUGCAUAUGUCUGUAUAUACAUAAGCUAUUGGAUUUUGAGUUACUGCUAACUCCAGAACAGAAUCUGUUCUUCUACCCUUGGGUCUUCCUCCCAUGCCUCUCCCUUCUUUUGAUCUUAAGGUGGGAAAGCUCCAGAUUACAUGGUACUUAGAAUUCAGUGAGCAGAACUGACUUAAAGUGAGGCUGUGGGUAAGACCUGAGAGGGGCAACGAGGGGAGGCCACGGCCUGCAUACAGCCUGUUUGAAAUGUGCAUACCAGCUUGUUUUCAAAACUUUAAUCAGAAACUCUUUGGGGGGUUGAAUCUAACACACUAAUAUUUUUAAAGCUUGACCAGUGGUUAAAAGGCCAAGGUUUCUUCUGUCCUUUCUUUACCUUAUUUUAGAUAUAAUCUGUUAGAAGAAAAAAGGAACCAGAUGAAAGAGAAGAAUAGCUCUGUGGUAGCUCAGUGUGUUGGUGGCUGGAAGCUCUGCUCCCUUCUGAGUGGUCUUUGGUGGUGUUCUUAUGAAGUACACAUAGAUACAGAGAUGGACAACUCCAGUCAGAGGAAAGGGGAACAACUUGACACUGGUGCAUCUCAGGUCUUGACUUCAAGCCUUCCACCAAUAAACUGUUCCAUUAGAUUUAGAAACACAAGUAGAUGAAGAAAUUGUGGAGGUGAAUAGCCUCCAUCCAUCUGUCCAGUCUCAAGAACUCUGGUCUGGCCCUUUGUGUUCAUCUCCAAAGUGUGUGAAUCAGGUUCCCAGGAGGUGUGUAAGAUGAGUGUUACAGGAUUGGAGCUGUAGCUCAGUGAGUGGCAGAGCGUUUGUCUAGCAUGUGUGAGGCACUGGGUUCCAUCCUCAGCACCACAUAAAAAUAAACAAAGACGUUCUGUACAUUCAAAAAAAAACUAAAAAGAUGAAUGUUACAUUAGCUGCUGGGAUUUUCUAGGUUUGUCUAUAACCGAAUGACCAUCCCUUACAUAUUUACGGAGUAUAAGUGGAGUCUAAAACAUUUUUAUGUAACUUUUAUUAAAGCUCGCUUUUAACUCUGGUUAUGAUGCAGUUGAGCACAAUAACCCUUAAGCACUGCAUCCCUUCAAAACUUAUGUCAUACUACAGACCUUUUUAUUUGCAAAUGAUAAAGGGGACCCAUUGUCUUUGGGUUCGCUGGUUCUGGCCUUGUUCUGGUAGAAUGUUCAAUUUAUCUCAGAACCUGAACAUCUGUUUAGCUAUAUACUUCAAGUCACUAUUCUCAGCAUGAAUUUGUUGCCUUCUGGGAACUAUGAUGGGACUUACAGGAAGCCAGGUGUCAAGUUAAAGGAGAAGCAAGUAGUCUCUACAUGGGUGAAAAUCAUAAUCUGUACUGUAUGAAAUUUCAAAGAAAUCUUAUAUAGUUAGUUCCUGUUGUCAGAUCUUUGUCUUCUAAACCUCAAAUAAUCAGAAGUCUGUACUUCCAUUGUGGAGACUACAUUCCUAACAUUCUUGCAGAGCCUUAGCUCAUACUCCAGUCACACAUGGGAGGUCAGAUUUUCCUACCCGAGUUCCUUUUCAGUUUAUCCCUGUGGCUUAGUCUGCUCUGAUACCAGUUUUCUAGCAAGUUCUCUAUAUUUCUUUUCCCAGUGGGAGGGAGGAAGGGAGGAACUAAUGCUAAGUCAGGAGUUGUUUUACAGUUAAUUUUUAAAAAGUAUUCUGAGAAAUGGUGCAAGAUACUCCUGAAAGUCCCCAGGCUAGCCAAAGUCCACAUGGAUAUUUGGGGGCGUUAUUUAAACACUCAGCAGGCUGAGUGCAGGAAUAUAUGUGUAUGAUGUGUGUAUAUUUUACUUUUGGUUUAUAACUUUGUUAGCCAAUUUUGAAUUCUUAGCUCGUUGGCACCCAUUAUUAAUGUGAUGGUAUGCCAUGAAAUGUACUGUAUUGUAUAUAACUUGGGAGGACACUAGGCAUUCAGAGAAGCGUGCAGCACUUAAAUGAUACAGGGCUUAGUAUGGCUGAAGAUUUUACCUCCCAGCUUCAGUUAGUUGUGUUCCCAAGUGGUAAGGUGAGAUUGUGACUUAGGGAGGAAGAAGAGUGGCAUGAAGAAUUAUCCUCACUGUGUUCAGUCCUUCUAAAGAAUUGAAUGAGGGCAGUUUACCCUAGCCCAAAAAUGUUCACCUGGCUAUUUUUAAUGAAAAAUUGCUCAUUUUGCUGAGCGAGAGGCUUCCUGGAGAGCAAGAAAUGAUGGUGACACCUGGGGCCUGGGAUGGCUGACCUUGUGCCUAGAGAGCUAGCAGCAACGUGGUUGCCUAGGAACUGCUGUUCCGAGAGGUGUCCACAGGCAUCCCUGGUUCUUGAACCGCCUAUUACUGCUCCAGGAAGGGGACUGCACUGAUUGUUCCCAGACCAAAGAUAGUCAAUUUUGACUCCGUCAACUUUAAGGGGACAGAGCCUCGCAGCAACUGCUCCUAACUUAACACUAAAGCUGGAGGAAACAGUGGAGGAAAGGAUUCAUUACUGAUAGAUAGGACUAGGGGAAUGAUAGAACUUUUGACCAGUACCUGUAAACUCCCAAAUGCAGUUUUGUAUCUUUGUUUGGGCUGCCAAAGAAAAGUUGGAGGGCUGGGGGUGUAGCUCAGUGGUAGAACAUGUGCUUACCAUAAACCUGGCGGUGGGUUCAGUUCCCAGCACGAACAAACAAACAAAAAAACCAGAAAAGGUAGAGUGUUUGGAAAAUUUUUUCCUGAUAGAAGUGGCUCAGGAUAGCAGAGCUGCGGAGUGACAACUGCACUAAGUGACACUUUAUUUUUUUGGCUUAUUAUUUAGCACUGAGAAGCCCAGGGAAGUGGUGAUUACAGUAGCACUUUGGGAAACUGAGGUACUCUCUGGCCAUGCUUUGGAGAGACACCAUGCUUGGUAUUCUGUCGGGCUCAUCAGGAAGCCUCCAAAGUUCAGGUUAUAUCAGAGCCGAAUGAAGAGUCCUGGAAAAGUCCAUUGCUGAAAGGGGAGUUACUUUAAGUUUUCAAAUCUUGAUUCUUGGGUUUGCUGGAUUAAAUAA
rnacentral:lncRNA from 1 species